AAUGAACGCUGGCGGCGUGCCUAAUACAUGCAAGUCGAGCGAACGGACGAUAAGCUUGCUCUUUUGAUGUUAGCGGCGGACGGGUGAGUAACACGUGGAUAACCUACCUAUAAUACUGGGAUAACUUCGUGAAACCGGAUCUACUACUGCAUAAUAUUUUGAACCGCAUGGUUCAAAAGUGAAAGACGGUCUUGCUGUCACUUAUAGAUGGAUCCGCGCUGCAUUAGCUAGUUGGUAAGGUAACGGCUUACCAAGGCAACGAUGCAUAGCCGACCUGAGAGGGUGAUCGGCCACACUGGAACUGAGACACGGUCCAGACUCCUACGGGAGGCAGCAGUAGGGAAUCUUCCGCAAUGGGCGAAAGCCUGACGGAGCAACGCCGCGUGAGUGAUGAAGGUCUUCGGAUCGUAAAACUCUGUUAUUAGGGAAGAACAUAUGUGUAAGUAACUGUGCACAUCUUGACGGUACCUAAUCAGAAAGCCACGGCUAACUACGUG
rnacentral:rRNA from 1 species